CUCAAAUGUAUGUGACGUAUUCUGAAAGGGAUACUUCUUCGGACAAUAUACAAGGUGCUGCAUGGUUGUCGUCAGCUCGUGCCGUGAGGUGUCGGGUUAAGUCCCAUAACGAGCGCAACCCCUAUCAUUAGUUGCCAUCAGGUCAAGCUGGGGACUCUAAUGAAACUGCCUACGCAAGUAGUGAGGAAGGUGGGGAUGACGUCAAAUCAGCACGGCCCUUACGUCCAGGGCUACACACGUGCUACAAUGGUCGGUACAAAGGGUUGCCAAGCCGCGAGGUGGAGCUAAUCCCAUAAAACCGAUCGUAGUCCGGAUCGCAGUCUGCAACUCGACUGCGUGAAGUCGGAAUCGCUAGUAAUCGUGAAUCAGAAUGUCACGGUGAAUACGUUCCCGGCCUU
rnacentral:rRNA from 1 species